rnacentral:misc_RNA from 1 species
UUUUUUAAUGUUCAUGUUUUUGAAUGUUUUAUUCAAAUAAUGUAAAAAAUAAAAUAGAUAUUGACAUGGAUUGAACAAAAGAUAUAUAUUAUUUUAUGUUGCAUAAACAAAUUGGCAAAAUAGAGAUGGAAGAUAAAAAUAUGGUCAAAGUAAUAAGAGUCUAUGGUGAAUGCCUAGGAGCUUUAAGGCGAAGAAGGUCGUGGUAAGCUGCGAAAAGCUUGGGGGAGAAGCAAACAUUUAUUGAUCCCAAGAUUACCGAAUGGAGUAAUCCAACUA